UACGUAGGGGGCAAGCGUUGUCCGGAUUUAUUGGGCGUAAAGAGCGUGUAGGCGGCCAGGUAGGUCUGCUGUGAAAACUCGAGGCUCAACCUCGAGACGUCGGCGGAAACCAUCUGGCUAGAGUCCGGAAGAGGAGAGUGGAAUUCCUGGAUGUAGCGGUGAAAGUGCGCAGAUAUCUAGGAGGAACACCGGUGGCGAAGGCGGGAUCCUGGGCCAGUACUGACGCUGAGGAGCGAAAGCG
rnacentral:rRNA from 1 species